UUCUUGCGAACCUAAAGAAGUAUUAGGCUGUUUCCUUUCGGGGACGGAAAUGACAGGGUGGUGCAAGGGUUGUCGUCAGCAUCGUGUCGUGAGAUGUUGGGUUAAGUCCCGCAACGAGCGCAACCCUUAUUGUCAGUUGCCAGCAUUUAGUUGGGCACUCUGGCGAGACUGCCGGUGACAAACCGGAGGAAGGUGGGGAUGACGUCAAAUCAUCAUGCCCCUUAUGACCUGGGCUACACACGUGCUACAAUGGACGGUACAACGAGUCGCGAAACCGCGAGGUCAAGCUAAUCUCUUAAAGCCGUUCUCAGUUCGGAUUGUAGGCUGCAACUCGCCUACAUGAAGUUGGAAUCGCUAGUAAUCGUGGAUCAGCGUGCCACGGUGAAUACGUUCCCGGGUCUUG
rnacentral:rRNA from 1 species